rnacentral:lncRNA from 1 species
AAGGUAUCUUCUUUUUCGUUACUUUCUCUUUUGUUGUUUCUUUGUUUGCGUGAUUAGUUUCGUCUUUUUCAAUUACUUUUCUUUAUUUCUUCUCAAUCAGAUUGUUUCUUGGUCCAGUUUUCUUAUGUCAGUUAACAUAUGUUAUAAAUAGUUUCGUCGAUUAAUCCAUCUUGAUUGAAGUUCAACAGUUCUGGUCAAAUUAUUUGUUGUUAUUUCAAAAUUGCUUCGUUUUGUGUGAUAUUGGAUCCUCUGCUCUUUGUAGUUCUUUGUUCUUGCAUAUGAAUUCAGUUUUAUUUUCGUUCAGUGUACCUU